UGGAGGGCGGCUGCGGUCUGGCUGCGCAUUUCGCCCCUCCCUGCUCCAUAUGUGACCCUCUGUCUCCUUUUGAGACGGUCAGAGACCACCAUGAGGACAAAGGGCAGGUGCACAUCCGGGCCUUCCCUCAGAGCCUGGCCCUUUAAAGUAUGGCGUGUAGUCUUCCCUAUCCCUUGCUCUCCUGGACAAUCCUGUUGACCUCAAAAGCCAGGAUGUCUUGCCCCGGGUCUCCGAGAAUAAACUAGAGACGUUUGAGAGCGGAAGUGCUAAGUGGUUCCUCCUUCAACACCAGACCCUUCCCCUGGGGCUCUCACCAUCUGCCUACGGCUUCUGUUGCAAGCUUUUGAAUUUUACUCAUCACCGGGGAUGCAGCUGAACACGGUGGAGAAAAGCCUAUGAUCAUGCUGGUCUGACUCUAAAUUUAUUACCGCAAACCACGAGCCACGUCUGGGUGCCGCUAGGGAGUCGACACUGCCUGGUCCUUUGUCUCCGCUCCUGGGGACGACUAUCUACAUCCCCUUCUCCCUCCACCAUUCAUCUGGUUGUGUUGGUUUCUAUCUCACUGAGGGAAGAAACGAAACAAGAAAUCAGAACUUCUGCCGUUUUCCCAUCAGGUACUGUCACCAGCCACCCAAACUGGAAUCUCAUCACACACCCACUCUGAAAAGCGUAUGGAUCAACUAGAAAAAAAGAGAGAGGGAGGGAGGGAGGGA